GUCCGGGUGGCGGAAUGGUAGACGCGCUAGCUUGAGGUGCUAGUCCUCUUCGGGGGGUGUGGGUUCAAGUCCCAUUUCGGACA
rnacentral:tRNA from 2 species